rnacentral:tRNA from 1 species
GGGGAUGUAGCUCAAUUGGCAGAGCAACCGGAGUGUGGUGCCCCCAAGCCCCACUCCGGCGUGUUGCUGGUUCAAGUCCAGCCAUCCCCA